AUACUGCUCAGCAGGGGAGAUACCAUGAUCACGAAGGUGUUUGUUCCAGGACAAGGCUUAUCCACUGCACUCCAGAUGUGCUGACUCCUGCAAUUUCCCAAAAUGUGGGAAACUCUACUACAUGAUAUGUGGUAAUGGGGGACUGCAUAUGCGCUCUCCCCUG